rnacentral:rRNA from 1 species
CGCUAGCGGCAGGCUUAAUACAUGCAAGUCGAGGGGCAGCACGGGUAGCAAUACCUGGUGGCGACCGGCAAACGGGUGCGGAACACGUACGCAACCUUCCCAUAACUGGUGAAUAGCCCUCCGAAAGGAGGAUUAAUACACCGUAACAUAAUGAAACGGCAUCGUUUUAUUAUUAUAGGCAGCAAUGUCGGUUUUGGAUGGGCGUGCGCCUGAUUAGGUAGUUGGCGGGGUAACGGCCCACCAAGCCUGCGAUCAGUAACUGGUGUGAGAGCACGACCAGUCACACGGGCACUGAGACACGGGCCCGACUCCUACGGGAGGCAGCAGUAAGGAAUAUUGGUUAAUGGACGAAAGUCUGAACCAGCCAUGCCGCGUGAAGGAUUAAGGCCCUCUGGGUUGUAAACUUCUUUUAUCUGGGACGAAAAAAGGGUAUUCUUACUCACUUGACGGUACCAGAGGAAUAAGCACCGGCUAACUCCGUGCCAGCAGCCGCGGUAAUACGGAGGGUGCAAGCGUUAUCCGGAUUUACUGGGUUUAAAGGGUGCGUAGGUGGGUCUGUAAGUCAGUGGUGAAAUCUCCGGGCUUAACCCGGAAACUGCCAUUGAUACUAUAGGUCUUGAAUUAUCUGGAGGUAAGCGGAAUAUGUCAUGUAGCGGUGAAAUGCUUAGAUAUGACAUAGAACACCAAUUGCGAAGGCAGCUUACUACGGAUAUAUUGACACUGAGGCACGAAAGCGUG